ensembl:snRNA U6 U6 spliceosomal RNA
GUGCUCGAUUCAGCAACAUGUAUACUAAAAUUGGAACGAUAUAGAGAAGAUUAGCAUGGCCCCUGUGCAAGGAUAACAUGCAAAUUUGUGAAGCCUUCCAUAUUAAA